AAAACAACAUCCAUUUGUGCCUGAAACAGUCAGAGGAAAAUUGAGGCAGGCACUCUGUCUGUGGAAAUAACUCUUUACACUCAUCCAGAGGCACUAAUGCAAGGAUGCUUCCUGGGAUUCAGGCAUUCUUUACAAGACUGAAGCAGGACUGACCUUUAGAAUCCUUGUCCUUCCCAGACUCUCAGAAUGAACAAGAUUCACAUUGGCCAUGACUAGUACUUUCUUAGAAGCUUUGUCUAAAACAAGUUGUUAUCAGAUCCUUGAUCCUGAGCUCCAUUCUCUAGGGAAGUGGAGAUGGAGGAGGCUGGUACAGGGAAGAGCUAAUGAUUUUUUACAAAGAUGAGAUUCCCUUCCCCUCCCUUUUCUUCCUUUCCUUUUUUUCUCAUCUACUUCUUUCUCUCCCCCUUCCCAUCCUCCAUUCCAUCUUCCAUCCCUUCUUGUCUUGUUUGUCUUGUUUCUUUCUUUCUUUCUUUCUUUCUUUCUUUCUUUCUUUCUUUCUUUCUUUCUUUCUUUCUUUCUUUCUUUCUUUCUUUCUUUCUUUCUUUCUUCCUUUCUUUCUUUCUUUCUUUCUUUCUUUCUUUCUUUCUUUCUUUCUUUCUUUCUUUCUUUCUUUCUUUCUUUCUUUCUUUCUCUCUUUCUCUCUCUCUUUCUUUCUUUCUCUCUUUCUCUCUCUCUUUCUCUCUCUCUUUCUCUCUCUCUUUCUCUCUCUCUCUCUCUUUCUUUCUUUCUUUCUUUCUUUCUUUCUUUCCUUCCUUCCUUCCUUCCUUCCUUCCUUCCUUCCUUCCUUCCUUCCUUCCUUCCUUCCUUCCUUCCUUCCUUCCUUUCUUUCUCUCCUCUCUCUCUUUCUUCCUUUCUUUCUUAAAAAUUUCAUUUAAUAUCCUUACCUUCUGUCUUAAAUCAAUACCAUGUGUCAGUUCCAAAACAGAAGAACAGUAAGUGCUAGACAAUUGGGUUAAAGUGACUUACCCAUGUCACCCAACUAGGAAAUCUGAGACCAGAUUUGAACCAAAGUCUUCCUAUCUUCAGACCUGGCUUUCUAUUCACUGAGCCACCUACCUGCCUAAACUUUAGUUUAUUCACCUGAAAAUGGAAAUAUUAGUAUUUGGCUUAUUCACCACAGAGGACUGUUUGAGGAAAAUGUUUUAUAAACCUGAACUAUUCAUCAAACCUAUAAGAAUUUUUAAAGUACCC
rnacentral:lncRNA from 1 species